CAGUAGCCGCGGUAAUACAGAGGGUGCGAGCGUUAAUCGGAUUUACUGGGCGUAAAGCGUGCGUAGGCGGCUUCUUAAGUCGGAUGUGAAAUCCCUGAGCUUAACUUAGGAAUUGCAUUCGAUACUGGGAAGCUAGAGUAUGGGAGAGGAUGGUAGAAUUCCAGGUGUAGCGGUGAAAUGCGUAGAGAUCUGGAGGAAUACCGAUGGCGAAGGCAGCCAUCUGGCCUAAUACUGACGCUGAGGUACGAAAGCAUGGGGAGCAAACAGGAUUAGAUACCCCCGUAGUCCCUGUCUCUAAUAC
rnacentral:rRNA from 1 species